rnacentral:rRNA from 1 species
GGUUGAUCCUGCCAGUAGUCAUAUGCUUGUCCCAAAGAUUAAGCCAUGCAUGUCUAAGUAUAAACCUUUAUACGGUGAAACUGCGAAUGGCUCAUUAUAUCAGUUAUAAUUUAUUUGAUGAUCAAUUUACUACUUGGAUAACCGUGGUAAUUCUAGAGCUAAUACAUGCAAAGAACCCAACUUUACUGAAGGGUUGUAUUUAUUAGAUAAAAACCAAUGCCAGCAAUGGCCUUUGGUGAGUCAUGAUAACUGCGCGGAUCGUAUGGCCUUGAGCCGACGACGCUUCAUUCAAA